AUGGCUCCAGUGGCUACAUUUAUGUUAAGUCUGGUCGCUUGGGCCGUUGUACCUUUUGAUUAUGGUAUGGUAUUGUCAGAUCCGAACAUAGGGCUACUUUAUUUGUUUGCCAUAUCUUCGCUAGGUGUUUAUGGAAUAAUUAUAGCAGGUUGGUCUAGUAAGACGGGGGGCGGCCGUUCGGUCGCCUAUGAUAUACGGACCAAUUGGUCAAAAAUGGGUUUGUGCCGCAGGUGUUGA
rnacentral:rRNA from 1 species